rnacentral:misc_RNA from 1 species
GAUGAAGAACGCAGCGAAAUGCGAUAAGUAAUGUGAAUUGCAGAAUUCAGUGAAUCAUCGAAUCUUUGAACGCACAUUGCGCCCCCUGGUAUUCCGGGGGGCAUGCCUGUCCGAGCGUCAUUACAACCCUCAAGCUCAGCUUGGUGUUGGGCCCCGCCGCCCCGGCGGGCCCUAAAGUCAGUGGCGGUUCCGUCCGGCUCCGAGCGUAGUAAUUCUUCUCGCUCUGGAGGUCCGGUCGUGUGCUCGCCAGCAACCCCCAAUUUUUUUCAGGUUGACCUCGGAUCAGGUAGGGAUACCCGCUGAACUUAAGCAUAUCAAUAAGCGGAGGA